GAUGAACGCUGGCGGCGUGCCUAAUACAUGCAAGUCGAGCGAACGGACGAGAAGCUUGCUUCUCUGAUGUUAGCGGCGGACGGGUGAGUAACACGUGGAUAACCUACCUAUAAGACUGGGAUAACUUCGGGAAACCGUAGCUAAUACCGGAUAAUAUUUUGAACCGCAUGGUUCAAAAGUGAAAGACGGUCUUGCUGUCACUUAUAGAUGGAUCCGCGCUGCAUUAGCUAGUUGGUAGGGUAACGGCUUACCAAGGCAACGAUGCAUAGCCGACCUGAGAGGGUGAUCGGCCACCCGGGAACUGGGACACGGUCCAGACGCCUACGGGAGGCAGCAGUAGGGAAUCUUACGCAAUGGGGGAAAGCCUGACGCAGCAACGCCGCGUGAGUGAUGAAGGUCUUCGGAUCGUAAAACUCUGUUAUUAGGGAAGAACAUAUGUGUAAGUAACUGUGCACAUCUUGACGGUACCUAAUCAGAAAGCCACGGCUAACUACGUG
rnacentral:rRNA from 1 species